UUGGGAAUCUUGGACAAUGGGGGAAACCCUGAUCCAGCCAUGCCGCGUGAGUGAUGAAGGCCUUCGGGUUGUAAAACUCUUUCGACGGGGACGAUAAUGACGGUACCCGUAGAAGAAGCUCCGGCUAACUUCGUGCCAGCAGCCGCGGUAAUACGAAGGGGGCUAGCGUUGUUCGGAAUUACUGGGCGUAAAGCGCGCGCAGGCGGCUAUCCAAGUCAGUGGUGAAAGCCCGGAGCUCAACUCCGGAACUGCCAUUGAAACUGUUUAGCUUGAGGACGAGAGAGGUGAGUGGAAUUCCCAGUGUAGAGGUGAAAUUCGUAGAUAUUCGCAAGAACACCAGUGGCGAAGGCGGCUCACUGGCCCGAUACUGACGCUGAGGUGCGAAAGCGUGGGGA
rnacentral:rRNA from 1 species